GACGAACGCUGGCGGCGUGCCUAAUACAUGCAAGUUGAGCGAUGAAGAUUGGUGCUUGCACCAAUUUGAAGAGCAGCGAACGGGUGAGUAACGCGUGGGGAAUCUGCCUUUGAGCGGGGGACAACAUUUGGAAACGAAUGCUAAUACCGCAUAAUAACUUUAAACAUAAGUUUUAAGUUUGAAAGAUACAAUUGCAUCACUCAAAGAUGAUCCCGCGUUGUAUUAGCUAGUUGGUGAGGUAAAGGCUCACCAAGGCGAUGAUACAUAGCCGACCUGAGAGGGUGAUCGGCCACAUUGGGACUGAGACACGGCCCAAACUCCUACGGGAGGCAGCAGUAGGGAAUCUUCGGCAAUGGACGAAAGUCUGACCGAGCAACGCCGCGUGAGUGAAGAAGGUUUUCGGAUCGUAAAACUCUGUUGGUAGAGAAGAACGUUGGUGAGAGUGGAAAGCUCAUCAAGUGACGGUAACUACCCAGAAAGGGACGGCUAACUACGUG
rnacentral:rRNA from 1 species